rnacentral:rRNA from 1 species
GACGAACGCUGGCGGCGUGCUUAACACAUGCAAGUGGAGCGACGAACCAGGGCUUGCCCUGGGGCAGAGCCGCGAACGGGUGAGUAACACGUGGGUAACGUGCCCCGAUGACUGGGACAACCCGGGGAAACCCGGGCUAAUACCGGAUAUGCCCCCUAACAUCUGUCAGGUGUGUAAAGGAAGCUUCGGCCUCCGCAUCGGGAUCGGCCCGCGGCGCAUUAGCUUGUUGGUGGGGUAACGGCCUACCAAGGCAACGAUGCGUAGCUGGUCUGAGAGGACGAUCAGCCACACUGGGACUGAGACACGGCCCAGACUCCUACGGGAGGCAGCAGUGGGGAAUCUUGCACAAUGCGCGAAAGCGUGAUGCAGCAACGCCGCGUGCGGGAAGACGGCCUUCGGGUUGUAAACCGCUUUCAGUUGGGGCGAAGGUCGGCGCGUUAAUAGCGGGUCCGACUGACGGUACCUUCACAAGAAGCUCCGGCUAACUACGUGCCAGCCGCCGCAGUAAGAC